rnacentral:rRNA from 1 species
UACAGGGGGUGCAAACGUUGUUCGGAAUUAUUGGGCGUAAAGCGCACGUAGGCGGUUCGGUAUGUCAGAUGUGAAAGCCCUUGGCUCAACUGAGGAAGGGCAUCUGAAACUGGCGAGCCAGAGUAUGGAAGAGGGUCGCGGAAUUCCCGGUGUAGAGGUGAAAUUCGUAGAUAUCGGGAGGAACACCGGUGGCGAAGGCGGCGACCUGGGACAAUACUGACGCUGAGGUGCGAAAGCGUGGGGAGCAAACAGG